AUUGAACGCUGGCGGCAUGCCUUACACAUGCAAGUCGAACGGCAGCACGGGGCAACCUGGUGGCGAGUGGCGAACGGGUGAGUAAUGCAUCGGAACGUACCUUUCAGUGGGGGAUAACGUAGCGAAAGUUACGCUAAUACCGCAUAUUCUGUGAGCAGGAAAGCAGGGGAUCGCAAGACCUUGCGCUGAUUGAGCGGCCGAUGUCAGAUUAGCUAGUUGGUGGGGUAAAGGCUCACCAAGGCGACGAUCUGUAGCGGGUCUGAGAGGAUGAUCAGCCACACUGGAACUGGGACACGGUCCAGACUCCUACGGGAGGCAGCAGUGGGGAAUGUUGGACAAUGGGGGCAACCCGGAUCCAGCCAUGCCGCGUGAGUGAAGAAGGCCUUCGGGUUGUAAAGCUCUUUCGGCCGGGAAGAAAUCGCACGGGCUAAUACCCUGUGUGGAUGACGGUACCGGAAUAAGAAGCACCGGCUAACUACGUGCCAGCCGCCGCCGUAACAC
rnacentral:rRNA from 1 species